UACGAAGGGGGCUAGCGUUGUUCGGAAUUACUGGGCGUAAAGGGCGCGCAGGCGGUCCUUCAAGUCAGGCGUGAAAGCCCCGGGCUCAACCUGGGAAUUGCAUUCGAGACUGCGUAGCUAGGGUGCGGAAGAGGGAAGCGGAAUUUCCGGUGUAGCGGUGAAAUGCGUAGAUAUCGGAAGGAACACCAGUGGCGAAAGCGGCUUCCUGGUCCAGCACCGACGUCAGGCACGAAAGCGUGGGGAGCAAACAGG
rnacentral:rRNA from 1 species